GUGCAUGAGAUACAUUGCAACUAUUGCAGAUAAGGAACUGCUGAAGAAGUGUCAUCAGUGCAUGGAGACCAUUGUCAAAGCCAAAGAUCAGCAGGCAGCUGAGGCAAACAAGAACGCCAGCAUUCUACUUAAGGAACUUGAUCUGGAGAAGUCUCGUGAAGAAAGCAAAAAGCAGGCUCUGGCUGCAA